rfam:Triticum aestivum genome assembly, contig: Triticum_aestivum_CS42_TGACv1_scaffold_292010_4AL
CAUCUACUCCCUCCGUUCUGAAUUACUUGUCUUAGAUUUGUCUAGAUACGGAGGUAUCUAGCACUAAACCGUAUCUAGACAAAUCCAAGACAAGUAAUUCGGAACGGAGGGAGUAGCUA